AUUUCUUCUGUGUAGAUGCUCACUUAAGUAAAUGAUAUCUUAUUUUACAGAGCAACCUGAGUAGCCAACUGUGGGGUUUGAAGACACCACCAGCCCUCGGAAAGGAUGUUCUGACCAUCCCUCCAGUCAGCAGCCUGGUUAAUGUUCACCAGCAUCUGGUGCAUUCCCAGGCUCGAGGAGAGGCACAAAGGGGCAGGAGACCCUUCGCAUACCAUUUACUUCAACACUAUUGUGUUUCUUCUGAGCUUUGAAACUCAAGACCUGCUUUGAUGGAUAUUAGUGGAACGUGCUUUCCUGUCUCCCUAAUGAACUUUCACUUGGAAAACACCCCCAAACAUAGAUGCAAGACUGUAGCCGCAUCUUGUUCAAAGCACAGGGAGACCCUCUGUGCUGGUCCCUCGUCUCUGGUCCACCCCAGAGGAGUAAUCAGCCAAGAAGCACACAUGGGAUCAUUUACAGUUUUGCUUUCAAGCUCCCUGGCCCUUUCAGAUUGUGUUUACGUGGUCAAAGCCUUCAGCCCAGCCAGGGUGGGCUUCCUGACAGCCUCAUCUUGCUGACUCUGACUGGGACUUAAACCCGGCUAAUCUGUGGGAAGUGAGUGAUGGGGGGCAGGGGUUGCUCCUUGUUGAGACUCCUGGUAAGGAGAAGCUGGGCAAGUCCCCAUAAAGAAGCAGAUUUCUUCAGAGUUCUUCAAGGGACCCUUCAGCUCAUAUACUUGGAAACCAGAACAGCUGCCCUGAAAUAAUUACCAGCUAAAAAAGGAAAAUCUACCUCAAGUGAAAAAACAGCUCAGCAACGGGACAAAGAACUUCUUUAGUGGCACUGUUCUUUGAAAGACAAACAAACAUCAAAACAAACCUUUAACUGUCCUUUAGGGAAGAACUCUAAAAUAAAACCAAUACCAUUUUUUAAA